GGGCUGGUAGUUCAGUGGUAGUAAUGUUCGAUUCGCAAUCGAAAGGUCGCGGGUUCAACUCCCGCCCAGUCCA
rnacentral:tRNA from 1 species